rnacentral:rRNA from 1 species
UACGAAGGGGGCUAGCGUUGUUCGGAAUCACUGGGCGUAAAGGGCGCGUAGGCGGCCGAUCAAGUCGGGGUGAAGCCGUGUGGCUCAACCACAGAAUUGCCUUCGAUACUGUUUGGCUGAGACCGGGAGAGGUGAGUGGAACUGCGAGUGUAGAGGUGAAAUUCGUAGAUAUUCGCAAGAACACCAGUGGCGAAGGCGGCUCACUGGCCCGAUACUGACGCUGAGGUGCGAAAGCGUGGGGAGCAAACAGG